AAAUUGAAGAGUUUGAUCAUGGCUCAGAUUGAACGCUGGCGGCAGGCCUAACACAUGCAAGUCGAGCGGCAGCGGGAAGUAGUUUACUACUUUGCCGGCGAGCGGCGGACGGGUGAGUAAUGUCUGGGAAACUGCCUGAUGGAGGGGGAUAACUACUGGAAACGGUAGCUAAUACCGCAUAACGUCUUCGGACCAAAGUGGGGGACCUUCGGGCCUCACGCCAUCGGAUGUGCCCAGAUGGGAUUAGCUAGUAGGUGGGGUAAUGGCUCACCUAGGCGACGAUCCCUAGCUGGUCUGAGAGGAUGACCAGCCACACUGGAACUGAGACACGGUCCAGACUCCUACGG
rnacentral:rRNA from 1 species